AGGCGCUGCGUCCUGGCGGCCAGCGGGGGCUUAGUCUAGGCCCGGCAGGGUUUUCUGGAAGACCAGAGGGCCACCAGGUCACCGAGGUGGGAAGUGAAGAGAGGUUCGACGCUGCCUCAGGCCUGGGCCUGGCCGGUGGGAGACACAGCAAGGACUCUGGGAGCCUGCAGAGCAGAGGCCGCCGCGGGGCCGGGCCCCCGUCUCCUCCUCAGGUCCAAGACCAGAGGGUCUGCAGGGCCCCAGAGCAGCUGGCCGCGCUCCGCUUCCCACCGCGCUCUCUGCUGGAACUCAUGUGCCUUUUUGAUGAGUACCCAGCAAUCCCACUUCUACGAAUGUCUAUCAGUGAAAUUCCAGCUUAGCUCUGUAGUGGCUUCAUAGAAUCCAGUCAUUGCAGCAAUUUCAGGCAGCAGAGAGUUGGGGCAACCUGCAUGUCCAUCACCAGAAUGAGUCUAGGGGUCAGAAAUCUGCAAUCAGUUUCGGUGGACCAAAAUGAAAAUGUCAAACAGGGUGUCUGACACCCUCCAGAAGCACCAGAGGAGAAGCAGCUUUCCUUGGCCUUCCCAGCCAAAUCUCCCUCUGCCUCUCUCCCCUGGUGACGACAAUGGCUGGGGUCUUGACUUGCCAAGUGCAGCGUGGCCCGUACUGGUCACCUGGGUAUAGCUUUACUGAAUUUCGCAGAUCUGGAAACGGAGAAGGGACUGGAUCUCCAAACUUGGACUGCCUUGGACUGACCCUGGCCUGGAAGGUGUGGGCUCAGGACUCCGAGCUCAAGUCAGUCUGUUCCCCCAACCCCUAACCCACUGCAUCCGGGUGAGGAGUUGGGCCCGAGCGCCACAGCGCAGAUAGGGUUGUUAGGAGCGAAAGACUGGAGACCCAGGGACUGUGGGGCUGGGCUGGUGGGGCCACUGCUACCGACUAAGCAGUACGGGCCGCCUGGAAGACCGAAGGCGGAGUUCGCUGAUGCGGAAGCCAAGGCACAGGGCAAUAAGGAUCCGCGCCAUUUCUUGUGAUGUCACCUGAAGCCUUGGCGGGUAGCUGCCUCUCAUCCAUUCGGAGGACAGGGCUCCAGCCACCGGCAGCUCUGAAAGAGUUUGAAGAAUUUAUUGUUCACAGAUGGUAUUUAAAUGGACUUAUUUCUAAAAGUCACAUUCCUUUAUUACUUAUUUGUUAUUAGAAGUACCCAUUUUCAUAUGUGUUUAAAACUAUUUGUGUCUCAAAUUCUCAGGAGAUUGAUGCAUCCCAGUUUACUCUUUUUGGCAUAUGUUUUUACUCAUAAAUUAGGUUAAAUUUCAUACUUGUUUUAUAAAAUUUAGUUAUUUGGUUACAUUAAAAUAUUUGUAUCCAGA
rnacentral:lncRNA from 1 species